rnacentral:tRNA from 1 species
AGGCUCGUACUCCAAUGGUAGAGAGAGCGGUCUUAGAAACCGUGUAGUGAGGGUUCGAGUCCCUCCGAGCCUA